AUAUUGGGAAGGAACCCGAGGAAACGAGUCGAGGCUAAGGGACGACUCGCUUGAGAUAAAAGCAAGGAGAAAGCAGCAGAGUGAGCUGCGGAAUUGACAAGAUCUUUUUGAUCCCUUUUUGUACGGGUAUUAUUUUAUACCCUUAUGGUUAUUUUGAUGUAAAUACUGUAAUGUCAUAAGUAUCAAUGUAAAUUGAGCAGUUGUAAAUAAACUAUAAUAAUAUUAUUUUAGAUUUUCUUCUGUAAAUUUAAUAUUUGUACAUAUGGAUUUUCUGCCUUAUGUUUUGUGAAUGGAAUUAUUGAACCUACUGAGUUGACAAAUUUGACUUGGAUUGUGAAACUGUUUUGAAA